AGAGAGAAAAGAGAAAAUGAGUGUUUUGAGAGAAAAGGAUUCAAUUCAUUCCAUAAUGUUACAGGUUACAUAUAUAUAGUCUAUACAAUGGGACAAAACUCAAAUCUGAAAAACUUUCUGGACUAAUCCAAAUGCACUCAUCCAAAUCUAUGUACACUCAUGGUCUGAUCAUGCACUCAUCUCUUGAAUUAGUCUCCUUAAGAUCCAUCAAACUAGGCCUUA
rnacentral:lncRNA from 1 species